rnacentral:rRNA from 2 species
UGAGGAAUAUUCCACAAUGGGCGAAAGCCUGAUGGAGCAAUGCCGCGUGCAGGAUGAAGGCCCUCGGGUCGUAAACUGCUUUUAUUAGAGAAGAAUAUGACGGUAACUAAUGAAUAAGGGACGGCUAACUACGUGCCAGCAGCCGCGGUCAUACGUAGGUCCCAAGCGUUAUCCGGAGUGACUGGGCGUAAAGAGUUGCGUAGGCGGCUAAGUAAGCGAGUAAUGAAAACUAUCGGCUCAACCGGUAGCCUGUUAUUCGAACUGCUUGGCUCGAGAUUAUCAGAGGUCGCUGGAAUUCCUAGUGUAGCAGUGAAAUGCGUAGAUAUUAGGAAGAACACCAAUGGCGUAGGCAGGCGACUGGGGUAUUUCUGACGCUAAGGCACGAAAGCGUGGGGAGCGAACCGGAUUAGAUACCCGGGUAGUCCACGCCGUAAACGAUGGAUGCUAAUUGUUCGGGGUAUCGACCCCUUGAGUAAUAAAGCUAACGCGUUAAGCAUCCCGCCUGUGGAGUACGGCCGCAAGGCUAAAACAUAAAGGAAUUGACGGGGACCCGCACAAGCGGUGGAGGAUGUUCUUUAAUUCGAUGAUAAGCGAAGAACCUUACCAGGGCUUGACAUCCCUAGAAUUUCUCCGAAAGGAGAGAGUGCUUUUUAAGAACUAGGUGACAGAUCCUGCAUGGCCGUCGUCAGCUCGUGUCGUGAGAUGUUUGGUUAAGUCCAUCAACGAGCGCAACCCUUAUCGUUAGUUGUAUUUUUCUAACGAGACUGCCCCGGUAACGGGGAGGAAGGAGGGGAUGAUGUCAGGUCAGUAUUGGUCUUACGUCCUGGGCUAGAAACGUCCUACAAUGGCUAGUACAAUGGGCAGCGAAUCCGCGAGGUGAAGCAAAUCCCAUCAAAGCUAGUCCCAGUUCGGAUUGCAGGCUGAAACUCGCCUGCAUGAAGUCGGAAUCGCUAGUAAUCGCAGAUCAGCACGCUGUCGGUGAAUACGUUCCCGGGUC